AGAUGGACAUUCUACCUCAAAUGAUUCUCUUGUGCCACAACGUGUUUUUCAGGGCAAACUUCAAGGAAGUCAAGGUGAGAGAAGAUGAGCAAAAUGGGCGUUGCACGUUACCUUCAAGUGGCCCAAAGAAAUUGCUUAAGAAUGCUGGUGAACUCUAGAUCGAGCAGAACUUUUCUUCUUAAAGAAGAUAUAACACUAUCGUGUCGAUACAGGAAGCCCCGGGAGACAGCAAACGCUGAAAAGGAAGGAGGCAAGUCCAGAGUAGUGUCUACAUUUACCAGUCCAAAUUCAGCAAUUUUGGCAACCGCAAGUUCUUCAUAGAAAAGCUGGAACACUUGAAAGUUGGAAACUGAGUCAUCUCUCCCCACGCUCUGAACACACAACUAGUUACACAUUGUUGUACAGCAAACUUUGUAGUUGAAAGCAACACAAAAUGGGUGAGGGGAUAUGGGAGGUACAGGCUUCCUGUUAGAGAAUAAAUAAGUCACCGGGAU
rnacentral:lncRNA from 12 species